GGUYGAMGGGAGWRAUUYAUUCKCGUUUCGACGUCGGYGYCAGSCGAUCGAGUGACRCKGGAUUCCGACGACGACGUUAGCUUCUCKCSCGCCCUUCGCUCGUCKAACCGACGACGAACGCGUGCACUUUUCUCCUGGUAGGACGUCGCGAUCCGUUGGGCGUCAGUCUACGGCGCGCGGUGGAGCCCGCUCGUCGCUUCGCGCGACGGACGGACCCGCGCGUUCCGGCUGACUCGCUCGACGGUAGACGAAAGGUUAGGGGCCGCUCUCUCUCGGAGCGUUCGACUCCCGGCAAGCGCGCCAGAUGCGUCGACGAUCGGACCCGGUGCCGAUCCCGGCCUCUGGUGACUGUUGGCCGCGGAAGUUCUCGGACAGACCCCACGACCGAUCUGCGACGCUAUAGCUUUGGGUACUUUCAGGACCCGUCUUGAAACACGGACCAAGGAGUCUAGCAUGUGCGCGAGUCAUUGGGAAUCGCUAAACCUAAAGGCGCAAUGAAAGUGAAGGUCCUCCUAGCGAGGACCGAGGAAGACGGGCGGUUCGCCGUUAAAAGCGGCCGCUCCGCACUCCCGGGGCGUCUCGUUCUCAUCGCGAGAAGAGGCGCACCAAGAGCGUACACGCUGGGACCCGAAAGAUGGUGAWCURUGCCUGGUCAGGWCWAASUCAGSGKAAACCCUKAUGGAGSUCCGUARCGAUUMUCRCGUGCGMMUCGMUCGUCGGAMCUGRKYAUAGGGACGCAAGWSA
rnacentral:rRNA from 1 species